rnacentral:lncRNA from 1 species
CCUAAGUUAUUUUGUUACAAUUCAAUAUGGAUCAAAAUGGGAAUCCAAGAACGUUAUUCAUUCUAAAAUUUCAAGUAACCAGAAAUGUUAUUCCUUCUAAAUUUCAAGGGACCAGAACGUCAUUCCUUCUAAAAUUUCAAGGAACCAGAACGUUAUAUCAUUCCAAUAUUUCAAGGAACCAGAAGCUAUCUCGUCCAUGAAUUUCUAAGAAGCUGGGGCAAAUUUCGUUCAAUCAACGAAAGUUUUCCAACGGAAUAUUAUACGGAGUUUUCCUUACACCUGGUAUGUUAAGGCCAUCCCUUCUUUCUUUUGACAUGGUCCAAAUUAUACCGAAGAAACGAGCAAACACACAGUUUCCAUAAAUUACUCUAUUCAUAGAAAUAUUAGGGGUGUCUAUAUUUUUGAUUCCCUAUAUGAAUUAUUACUAUCUUCUGUUUAUGAGUCUCAGAAUAAUACGCAGUUGAAAAAGUUUAUCCGGAAGGAAUAUUGAGAUUAUUACGUAUUUUUCAUGCAUUUCACCCAUUUAUACAUGUGCAUUGACCCAUAACCAGAUGACAUUAUAUACACGUAUAUAUGUAAAUAUAUGUAUAUGGAAUAUGGGAAAAGGUUACGGCGUUAUAUACGCACUACCACCUAAUCUACUGGUAUAUGUUGAUGAUGUUGCCCACAGUGGCCGAGACAAUAUGAUGGGAUGCGCUCAGUGGCUUGAUGAUAUAAUGUACACCCAUACCUAUGCAUGUCACGAAAUUUAUACGCACGUGCAUGACAUUAUAAAUGUUUUAGAAUUAUAAAGUUAUUCAGAUUGAAAGAUGUGUUUCUAUAUUCCAUGUUUCAUCUAUGUCUUUUACGUACUAAUUUUCAUGCCUUACAUACUCAGUACAUUUUUCGUACUGACGCCCUAUUUCACGGGGCCUGUGUUCAUACCCGUAGGUGCAGGUAGGCAAGCUGACAGUCCCCCUCCUUAGGAUCCCUAAUCAGCGAGAGUUGGCGUGCUCUACUUGAUUCAGAGCUGCUUUUGAUUUUGGUACGAUAUGUCUCUCUCUCUCUCUCUCUCUAUAUAUAUAUAUAUAUAUGGUAAUGACGUGACUCAAUCACGUCUUCGUACAGUUAUGUUUCCAUUAGAUGUCUGUAGACAGUAUGUCUAUUUGGGUUGUAUGUGGCUUUGUCGGCUUUCAGUUCACUACAGAAAAAGAGGGCUACGACGACAUUUAAUCAACGACAUGUGAAAUAAAUGUCGGAAAAGGACUAAUUUUAUGACACUUAUUUACAAAUGUCGUAAAAUCAAUGACAUUUGGUAAGAAAUGGCACAAUAUUGUGACUUUUAAUUGAAAUGUAGCUAUAUUAGUCGGUAUUUACUGACAUUUAUAACUAAUGAAGGACAUUUGCUUACAUUUAUAAUUAUUAAACUUAAAAUAUAUUAAAUAUAGGGGCGUCUACUAUUUUAUCUCAAAAACUCUACAAAACUCCCCCUUUUCUCAUACGUCUCGCAUUCAUAAAAUUGGUAAGUUUCUCAUGAAAUCGCAACAAUCUUCUAGGAUUUACCAUCUUCUUUUGGACUCUUUUCAUAUACCUUUCUAGCAUUAGGAUCAAUUUAUCAAAUUCAGAGUCGGUGGUUAAUUAGCAGAUACUACUGAUUAUUCCUAGAUUGUUCUUAGAUUGAUUUAUAACUCUCAACAUGACAGAUACUACUGAUAAUUCUCAAACUUCUAAUCGAGGUUAUUAAGGCGCAUUUCUCCUGUGAUUUUCGUUCUAUUAUGUUAACUUGAUUAAAUUUCCUGCCUUUAAAAUGGUUGUAACCUUUUCUUUUAUUAUUAUGUAUUGAAGUUUGUUGUGGUUGCUGAUGAUUGGUUUGGGAAGUGGUAGGUAGGAUUUAUUUAUGAAUUUAAUAUUUCUCUGCUUACGUUAUUGGUAGUGGGUUGUUGAAAUUGAUCAAUUUGGGCAUACAAUAUUAGCAUCUGCUUUGUUGUUUUAUUUUUAUGUCACUUUGUAUUUGCAGUUUCUAUUAAAUUUCAGUUGUUGGUUAUUCUGCUAGUGAAUUUUGCUUUUACUGUUCUGUUCUAUCCACCAGAGAGGACAAAGCCUUGGAAGUGUGGCACUAGAUAACCACAAGCUCAUUAUUCAUGAAGGACUUGCAAUGUUGGAUCCCUCAAGGAGAUGGCAUUCUGCUUUUCAGUAAGAAUAUGGAUAUUAGUACUAUUUAUAACUCCAUGAGAAAUAUGACUUUUGUAGCAUGAUCAUUAUCCAAAUAUGGUUAGUGAAUUCGAGUUGAUUGUGGUUCUAAACUUUGCAGGCCGGUCUAAAUAAAUAUGUAGUUUGUAUUACUUAUCACUAAAUCAACAUACUAGCAUGACUAUUAGCACUGAAAUAUACUACUAACAAGAUUACCGUGCAUGUGCUCAAAAUGACUUGCACUAGGAGCAUACUCAAGGGUCGUCAUCCUUGUAAAAGGUUAUCUCUUCACAAUAUCAAUGAGAUCAAGAAAAUUCUUGUGGUUCACUUGUGAAAUAUAUCAAUCUACGCAAAUAAUUUUAACAGAAUAUCAUGUAAACUCUACAACUAAAAUGUAAUGCUUAUUGUUAAAGGGAGUAGGAAAAGGAAAACGACAAAGAGAACUUUUCCUUUUGUGUUGCAUUUAUUUUAACUGAACAGACGUAUGUGUGUUCAAGCACCUUUUGCAUUUUCUUACUUUAUGGAUCACCUGUUUAUAUUUGUGGCUUAUGUUUCUGGAAGACUUGAAGUUUCUUAUUGUUUUUUUAUUUUUGAUAAGUUCGUUCAUUGUUCUUCUUUGUUUGUAUGAUGGAAGUUCUUAAGCUGCACAGGUUCUAAUGUUCCAUGUGAUAUCAUUUUCCAUAUAAUUUCUAUAGAAGUUGCCUGCUAACUGAUUUUUUUUACUUAAUCUUUUUUAACUUCUAAUUUAUGCCUUUAUUGGAUUUAUGUUUAGGUUGAUAUGCAAAAAUUAGAGUCAAGAAGAGGACAGUCUUAUGCAAAGGCUGUUGCCAUAAAGAUUCCAGUUGCCUCUUUGUACGGAGGCUCACUAAGUGAACUGUUGUGAAUCAGUGUUCUUGUAGUCGACAUUGGUCUUUAUUUAUAGUUAGCAUUUAGCUUGUUCUGAAGAUGAAUAAGGAUAAAAAAUUAUAUUCUAUGAGAACCAUUAUCGAAUGAUGGUGUAAGAUUUAUAAAAAUAGCCUCUUUUGUUUUAAUUCAAAUUUCUUUUGUAGGGU